UCUUGCACUAUUUAAUACAGCAAAUCUCAGGAUUUUAGUUGCUAACAAAACAACAAUAUAGAUAACAUAAUUAACAUGCAUAUAUUGUAUAGUAUCUAUUAAUUAGCUCAAGUUACUUUUUAGUUGGCUGAGAAAACACCAUAUGAUUGUAAAAAAAUAAAGAAAGGAAAAUGAAAAGAGAAAAAAAGAAAAGAAAAGGCUAAUAGUUUUCUUGCUGGGAAAUUAAUCUCAAGUUCAAUGGGUAGUUAGGAUGAUUGUAGUUAGCAAGCAUACAUAGAAAAAGAAAAACAUAAGUAAUGGUUCUUGUUAAUGUUUCUGCGACAGAUAUUUGGAUGGCUUCGUUAUUGUUAUUGCUAGAAGCUCUGGUGAGAUGCCGAAAGGGUGAUCUCUUGACAGGGACAUGCAAGGCCAAUCACAGCAUAAUUACAAGCACAGAAUUACAGGCAGACACCACUGAGCCACAUGCCCCCGUCACUAGUUUUCCGAGCGAAGAUGAGAAUGUGCAAACCUGCUGGAGUAUAGCUAUUUCUUCCUUGUGGCUUUAUCAAAAAGACGAAGGAAUUCCUACUACCAAUUAAAAUACUAAAUAGAAGACAAGGAUUAGUUGGACAGUGGGCACUGAAAGCUGGACGACGACGACGACAAUAACAACAACAAACAAGUUUGUUUUUUUUCUUUUUUCUUUUUUCAUGAUAUUAAUUGCAUUAUGUUUUGUUUUUCUCAGUCAGCACAAAGUCUAUCUACACAAUAAAGUUUUAUAUCUUAUUAUUUGUUA